rnacentral:rRNA from 2 species
GCGAAGAAAACUUUCGACUAAUGUUGCGAAACGGCACCGACAAGGUUAAUCCGAGUGGUUUCUGCUAAAAGGGAACCUUUUGGUCAGUCCUAGAAACACUGGUGAAUAAGGGGUGGGCAAGUUCUGGUGUCAGCCGCCGCGGUAAAACCAGCACCUCAAGUGGUCAGGAUGAUUAUUGGGCCUAAAGCAUCCGUAGCCUGCUUUGUUAGUUUUCGGUUAAAUCCAUACGCUCAACGUAUGGGCUGCCGGGAAUACUGCAAAGCUAGGGAGUGGGAGAGGUAGACGGUACUCGGUAGGAAGGGGUAAAAUCCUUUGAUCUAUUGAUGACCACCUGUGGCGAAGGCGGUCUACCAGAACACGUCCGACGGUGAGGGAUGAAAG